UACAGAGGUCUCAAGCGUUGUUCGGAUUCAUUGGGCGUAAAGGGUGCGUAGGCGGCGCGGUAAGUCGGGUGUGAAAUCUCGGAGCUUAACUCCGAAACUGCAUUCGAUACUGCCGUGCUUGAGGACUGGAGAGGAGACUGGAAUUUACGGUGUAGCGGUGAAAUGCGUAGAUAUCGUAAGGAAGACCAGUGGCGAAGGCGGGUCUCUGGACAGUUCCUAACGCUGAGGCACGAAAGGUCAGGGGAGCAAACGGG
rnacentral:rRNA from 1 species